rnacentral:rRNA from 1 species
CUUGCAGGGUACUCGAGUGGCGAACGGGUGAGUAACACGUGGGUGAUCUGCCCUGCACUUCGGGAUAAGCUUGGGAAACUGGGUCUAAUACCGGAUAGGACCGCACUUUAGUGUGUGUGGUGGAAAGUUUUUUCGGUGUAGGAUGAGCUCGCGGCCUAUCAGCUUGUUGGUGGGGUAAUGGCCUACCAAGGCGGCGACGGGUAGCCGGCCUGAGAGGGUGCACGGCCACAUUGGGACUGAGAUACGGCCCAGACUCCUACGGGAGGCAGCAGUGGGGAAUAUUGCACAAUGGGCGCAAGCCUGAUGCAGCGACGCCGCGUGGGGGAUGAAGGCCUUCGGGUUGUAAACUCCUUUCGCUAGGGACGAAGCUUUUUGUGACGGUACCUAGAUAAGAAGCACCGGCUAACUACGUGCCAGCAGCCGCGGUAAUACGUAGGGUGCGAGCGUUGUCCGGAAUUACUGGGCGUAAAGGGCUCGUAGGUGGUUUGUCGCGUCGUCUGUGAAAUUCUGGGGCUUAACUCCGGGCGUGCAGGCGAUACGGGCAUAACUUGAGUGCUGUAGGGUAACUGGAAUUCCUGGUGUACGGUGAAAAUGCGCCGAUAUCACGGAGGAACACCCGAUGGGCGAAGGCAGGUUACUGGGGCAGUUACUGACGCUGAAGGAGCGAAAGCAUGGGUACGAACCAGGAUUAGA